UAGAAAAUUUCAGCCCCUCUUUUUGCCAAAAAUAGCCUUAUGCGUGUUUCCACGCGUUUCUCUCAUUUAUGCAAACUACCAUCUCUCUUGCGUUUCCAACUUCUCUUCUACAUCAAUCCAUCCGUUUUUAUUUUCUUUCAAUCACUGUAUCUCUUCUCCGGCGACGUUUCAUUUUUCGCCGUUGUUUCUAUUUCUCACAGUCACCAAGAAUUUUCAUCUUCUUUUACGGUAUGGAGUUGGUUCUUUUAAGAGUCUGUCGGUUUAGUUUCAUCCGCGUUUUUCCGGAGUUUUCUUGAGUCUAAUGAAAUCUUAGGUCGAUUUUGUUUGUUUUUGUUCUCCUAGUCACCGUCGUUGGUUUUAAAUCUACAGUUUCUCCGUCGUUUGCAAAAAAAACCGGCCAUUCUAUAUUAGUCGUUUCUUUUUCCCAGAUCGUGGACAUUCACAAAUCAGCAUAGAUCGAUACUUUUUGUGUUGGACAUUCACAAAUGAGCAUAGAUGACCAUGGCGGAUCUAGACCUUCCUGCUAGAUUAUUCGCCGAUCGAGAAGAAUAUGUGGGUGAGCGUGUUAACCAGUACUUCAAGCUCCACAUGAUUAAAGUUGUCCAGAAGGCUUUACAACCGACGAAGCUUGAAUUGAUUCGGCCGUGUUUUGGGAAAUUCCUCGAUUCACAUCGCCAUUGUUUAUUCAUCGGAAAAAGAUAACUUUUACGAUACAAAUAAGGAUGUAAAACAUUUUUUGGAUCUUCACAAAUAGAUCUACAAAGUAUAGAUGCAGAUCUAAGGAUAUUUGUGGAAAUGGGUCAAGAUUUAGAGAAAUACACUAUAAUACCAAACAAGAAAUUUUAGAGUGAAAGGAAGAA